CAGCAGCCGCGGGAAUACGAAGGGGGCUAGCGUUGCUCGGAAUUACUGGGCGUAAAGGGCGCGUAGGCGGGUCGUUUAGUUAGAGGUGAAAGCCCAGGGCUCAACCCUGGAAUUGCCUUUAAUACUGGCGGCCUUGAGUAUGGCAGAGGUGUGUGGAACUCCGAGUGUAGAGGUGGAAUUCGUAGAUAUUCGGAAGAACACCAGUGGCGAAGGCGACACACUGGGCCAUUACUGACGCUGAGGCGCGAAAGCGUGGGGAGCAAACAGGAUUAGAUACCCCGGUAGUCCCUGUCUCUUAUAC
rnacentral:rRNA from 1 species